CGGAAGUUUGACGUCAAAGAGCUUGCUGCGGCUGUAUGAUCGUCUCCACGGGGACCUCCAGCUUCUUCGUUUGGCCAGGGAGACAUCUGGCAGCAUCACAGCCAACGAGGCCUCCAAGUCCCGAGGGUUUCCACACAAAGCGUGCUCCGUGGAGCAGUAGUAGGAACACUGGCCAUAGAAGCACACGUUGCCCACUAGAGGGAGAAAGAGGUGUACAAAUGAGAAAAAUAGAGCCUCCCGACUGCAGGAGGGAUUCUCCUGUAACCUAAGAUCCUGCAGGGAGAUGAUGGAAGACGAGAAGAAAGACAAGAAAGAAAAGACAUGAAAAGUAAGACAGGGAAAGGAGAGGAGGAGAAAGAUCUAAAAGAGUAUUGCGUAACACACGUUCAUUAAGUCAAAAUGUCACCCGCUAUUUCCUUUAUGAUGCUCAUUGUGACAGUGGUGUGGAUUUAUGGGCUUUA